AUGGAGCCAAUCCACAGGAUAUUCUCCAGAAAGAGAGUAAGCACCACUGACCUCUUCACAACUGACUUCCACUGCUGCUACAAAAACACCACGGGCACUAAAAAGUCCUCAGCCACGAGAAAAAUGAGCCAAAGAACAGCAAGGGUGUGGCCUUGGGCUCUUCCCAACCACAAGGAGCUAUCUACCUCUGGGGGACAAGGGAACCCAGAGCCAGCACUCAAGGACAAACCUGGCCACACAGUGGCGGGUUACCGGCUAACUCUUCUGUGCCACCUGCACAUUCCCCUAGUCCUGCAGACAGUGUGUAUGCUGCCCCAGCCUCACAGAGAGAAGGCCUUCACACAACGAAUCUCCUCGGCACAGGAGCGCCUACUGCCCCAUGACUCCCUAUGAUCCAAAGCGGACCCCAUCCUAA